UGGAACAGCGAGAACAGUAUGGAAGUCGAAGUAGUUGUGUUCGUUAUGGUGCUUUAUUGUUGUGCAACUGCGAUUUUUACAUCCAUAUUGGAAAAGAGAUCAGCAUGCUUGGAAAGGGAGAUAGAAUGUGCAGAGAUGGAAAGAUCUGAGAGGAGGAGAGGGCUGCUACAACGAAUAAGGGAACUCGAUUUGAGGUUGGCUCGUGUUAGGCAGUGGCACAACAGACGAAGAAGGAUUCUUCGAUACUAUCGUGCACGACGUAGUUCCACGGUAACUGUUUGGCUUCGCAACAGAGCAAGACGACUUGUGGCGGAAAACGCUACUUGAUGACCAACUUGCAAAAGGUUUCCGAAUGCCGUAAGCCGUGCUUCUGAAGCUAUUGCAUGUGUCAUCCUGACUCGGCAGAGGUAUGACCCUUUAUGGAAGCACACUACAUCUCGGGUGGCCUUUGGCGUCAGAGCUUUGCUCCACAGUGGGGAGCUCUUUUGGUGUUACACACAACGCUGGAAAGGGCGUCGAGUAUGGUGGGGGGAUUCCCUACUGAUGUCAGUUCUGAUAUCAGUCAUGUAAACGAACUGACUGGCAUUCUACCCAGUUCACAAAUGAAGAGUAGGCCUAUGAGACCGCUGAGGGAUUGGUUUUACAGGGAAUGUUGUCACUUGCUGUCUUCACUUGUGUGAUGAUCAAUUCUAUGGUAGAGUUUACUACUGGUCAGCACUCUGAAUACCAGGGGCACCAGAUUACUCUGAUCACUGUGGCUUUAUCGUUUCAAUCUGUCAUUUUUUAUGUUUUCUUUGUCAACAUAAUGAGUGGACGUCCGUUGAUAUGGUACAACCUAGAAUUAUGAUUGGAUUGGCAUUGCCUGUGUUUGACAAUAAACUCAAAUAAUGUA